rnacentral:lncRNA from 1 species
ACGUGGGAGAAGUUGAGCUGGGAGUUGAUGUGUUGAUUGCUGGAUCCUUGAAGCUCGCCGAACGGCUGGAUUGGUUGGCUGAAGUCAGCUUGAUCCUCGGUUGCAGGGGAUGGCGAGGACGUGGACGUCAGGUUGAGCUUACAGCCGAGAUGGAGAUGCGGGAGGCUUGAAACCAGUGGAUAUGGCUGAGAACAGAGGAUCUUUGGAACGAAUUUGAUAGGUUGGUUCUCAUGGGAUGCUGAGAUUAUUGGAGUCGGGAAGUUGUUUGGAUGGAUUCGGAAGAUUGAGCUGCUGAUGUUGCCCAAGAAGACAACCCAAGAGGGAGGGUGAAUUGGG